GACGAACGCUGGCGGCGUGCUUAACACAUGCAAGUCGAACGGAAAGGUCCUGCUUUUGUGGGGUGCUCGAGUGGCGAACGGGUGAGUAACACGUGAGUAACCUGCCCUUGACUUUGGGAUAACUUCAGGAAACUGGGGCUAAUACCGGAUAGGAGCUCCUGCUGCAUGGUGGGGGUUGGAAAGUUUCGGCGGUUGGGGAUGGAAUCGCGGCUUAUCAGCUUGUUGGUGGGGUAGUGGCUUACCAAGGCUUUGACGGGUAGCCGGCAUGAGAGGGUGACCGGGCACAAUGGGACUGAGGUACGGCCCAGACUCCUACGGGAGGCAGCAGUGGGGAAUAUUGCACAAUGGGCGGAAGCCUGAGGCAGCAACGCCGCGUGCGGGAUGACGGCCUUCGGGUGGUAAACCGCUGUCGCCUGUGACGAAGCGGUAGUGACGGUAAUGGGUAAAGAAGCACCGGCUAACUACGUG
rnacentral:rRNA from 1 species